GAUUUAAACAUCCCAUCCGCGUAGUAUGAGACAGGUCUUCUGACUAUUUUCUUCGCAAAAACUAUUAUCUUCUCCGCACUACCAUCAUCACAUAUUAUAAAAUCUUUGGCUAAUUGUUGUGGUAUUUGAAUCGUCGCAGUUGAAUCAUUUGAUAAUAAAAUCUAUAUUCAAAUACUUCUUACGCGCUCGGUAUAAAGAAUUUUUAAGGGAACGAAAACUUGGUAUUUGCAUCUUGAUGAUUUGGGUUCUCAUUUUUUAACUUUUCUAAAGAUGAUUCACAUAAUAAUAAUAUGUUCUGAACCGGCCCCAAAUUUUCGCAAACUUUCUUCUUUAAUUCUGAUUUAGCUUUUUUAAUAUUUAAAGCAACAAUAUCUAUUUCGCAAGUAUGCGGUGUUUCUCGCAAAACGGUUUUCUUUGUUCUAUCUAUCUAAUGUCACUGAUGCAGUACAUACCAUUCUAUGAAUACAUCUCCAUAAUGUGCUGUCAUCUUAAUUUGUUCGGUUUUUAUUGAACUGGAAGUCAUUAUAUACCAAAGUGGGCUUUCCUUUUUGAUUAGAAAUGAAUUGUAGUUUGUCGCUCAUUAUUAACUUUUUAUCCGAACACAAAAUGAUCAACAGGAUUUUUUUAACAAAAUAAAUAUUAUUUCAAACCUACCCUACUUUGUUGACUUGACAAGAAUUUGCUAUUUCAGUCAUCAGUUUGACAUUGAGCACUGGUGUUGCCAUGUAAAUAAUUGAUUGUCUAUGGGUAUUUGUGUUCCAGUAUAGAGAAAAUACUGAACAUACAAUUUAGUUUUUAUCAACAAACAAUAAAUUUAUAAACUUUUAAAAUAAUGGCAUCAUAGAUUUAUUUUAUUUUGUUUAUUGUAAUAUCAAAAUGGAAACACAACAUAAAACUAAAAAUCGGAAGGGAUAUUUUGAGGAAGGGACAUUUUGAGGAAGGAACAUUUUGAGGAAGGAACAUUUUGAGGAAGGAACAUUUUGGGAAAGGGACUUUUUGAGGAAGGAACAUUUUGGGAAAGAGACAUUAUGGGAAAGGGACAUUUUAUGGAAGGCACAUUACGGGAAACGGACAUUAUGAAACCAGGGGACAUUUUGGGAAAGGGACAUUAUGGACCUGAACAUCUAGCUAAAGUCCCGUUUACACAGGAUAUAAUAAUAAAGUUAGUUUUUUGUAUUUUCACAAAGAAUUUAUAGUAAAAACAUAAUGAUAUCUGAAAACUGAUGUUAAAUCAUUGUGAGUAACUUUUUUAAUUUAUAUUUUUUAUAUUUUCACGAAUAAUUUUGAUAAUAAUAUACGGUGAUGACUGUUACUGAAUCAUGUUAGGGACUGAAUUUUUUACAUUUCUAGUAGGCUACAUAAAAUAAUAUCUAGUUGGCUAAGCGCAGUUCUUUAGUUAUGGCGAUAAGGGAUAUACCUCCUUACUAUUGCUACAUUUAUAACAUAACACAGCCUACGCUAGGAGCUUUCCCCGCACAUUUUCACUAUUCACGAAAAAUCGCGUAAAAUGUCGCGUUUUACAACACCCUGUCUAAAUAAAAAUACUUUGUACAAAGUACUUGAAAGCCAUCUACUGGGCAUCCCCGGGAACUAAAAUAAAAAAGAAGGUGGUAAAAUAUUUUGGCAGUGUGUGAAGAACAUUAGCCAAUAUUUUGAUACUGGCAUAUAAUAUUCUUUCUGAAAAGAAUAUUUCAAAAUUAUUCCUCAUUUGAAGCUGGCAGAAGUGUUCUGUAGAAGAGAACGCAUUGAAGAAAUCAGUUCAUAAAAAUUCUUCAAGUGAAAACAACUAAAAACGUCAAAAAAACAUUAAUUUAAAUCAUCAAAAAUAAUUUAAUAUACUCCUAUACCGUAUAUUACUUGAAAUACCUACUUUUCCAGACCUUCCGGUUUCCAGAUCCAGUUUACGAAAUAGCAUUAGCUAUUUCUAAUUUCUACAUUUUAUUUUAAGAGUAAUCUUCACAAAUCCCUAAAAUGUCUUGCGGAGGAUGUGGCCCAUGCUGCGGCCCCUGCGGCGGGUGCGGCCCGUGCUGCGGCCCCUGUGGCCCGCUCUGCUGCCCCCCCCAGCCCUGCUGCGAGCCCUGCUGCAAGUGCUGCAAUCCUUGCAUCACCAUCUACACUUGCUGCACGAAGAUUUGCUAGCAGCUUCUCGGUUGUCUUGUCGAUUCAGAGUGCCGUUUUUGUGAAUAAAAUUGGAAAAUUGUA